GUCCAUGGCCAUGCCACCCUGAACAAGCCCGAUGUCUGAUCUCGGAAGCUAAGCAGGGUCGGGCCUGGUUAGUACUUGGAUGGGAGACCCCCUAGGAAGAAAUAAAUUUAUUUAUU
rnacentral:rRNA from 1 species